UAAAGACCUAAAAAUAAGCCGGAUAAUAAAAUCAAUAGAUUAAAAUCCAAAGAAUAUGGCGGUGUUUUUAUAUAAUCAGGGGAACCUGUUUCUUAAUUCGAUAUUCCACGAUAGUUCAACCUAUUUAACCAGCCUGUGUACUGCUGUCGUCAGUAAACCUAUAAAAGAAGUUUACAAUAAAUAACAACUAUUUUACGUCAAGUCAAAGUGCAGCCAAUAAAUAGGAGAUAAUGGGUUACAAUCUUAACUAAAGAAUACGAAUAAAUAAAAUAAAAAUAUUUUGAAGGUGGACUUGAAAGUAAUAUUUAAAAAACAUUAAUAUAAAAAUUUCUAAAACAUGUACACAUCGCCCGUCACUCUCGUCCAAGAUG
rnacentral:rRNA from 1 species